rnacentral:rRNA from 1 species
UGAUCCUAAUCAAACCUCCAAGAAAAACCUCUAAGGCUAGGCUAAAACUGCCCGUACCGUAAACCGACACAGGUAGUCGAGAUGAGUAUUCUAAGGCGCUCGGGUGAGCCGCGGAGAAGGAACUAGGCAAAUUAACGCUGUAACUUCAGGAUAAAGCGUACCAUCUUCGGAUGGUCUCAGUAAAAUGGUUCAACCAACUGUUUAGCAAAAACACAGGGCCCUGCAAAAUCGUAAGAUGACGUAUAGAGCCUGAUACCUGCCCGGUGCUGGAAGGUUAAGGAAGGAUGUUCGGCGCAAGCCAAAGCUUCUGACUGAAGCCCCAGUAAACGGCGGCCGUAACAAUAACGGUCCUAAGGUAGCGAAAUUCCUUGUCGGGUAAGUUCCGACCUGCACGAAUGGUCUAAUGAGUUGAACACUGUCUCCUCCGCGAGCCCGGUGAAAUUGUAGUAUCGGUGAAGAUGCCGGUUACCCGCCACGGGACGAAAAGACCCCGUGAACCUUCACUACAGCUUUACAUUGAUUUUGAGUAACAGAUGUGUAGAAUAGUUGGGACGCUAUGAAACCAUGCCGCCAGGUGUGGUGGAGCGGUCGUUGAAAUACCAACCUUCUGUUACUUAGAGUCUAAUCCCUAACGGGAGACAUUGUAUGGUGGGUAGUUUGACUGGGGUGGUCGCCUCCUAAAAAGUAACGGAGGCUCGCAAAGGUGCCCUCAGCGUGGUUGGUAAUCAUGCGUAGAGCGUAUUAGUAUAAGGGCGCUUGACUGUGAGACAGACGUGUCGAGCAGGUGCGAAAGCAGGCUAAAGUGAUCCGGUGGUUCCGCAUGGAAGGGCCAUCGCUCAAAGGAUAAAAGGUACUCCGGAUAACAGGCUGGUCUCCCCCAAGAGCUCAUAUCGACGGGGAGGUUUGGCACCUCGAUGUCGGUUCGUCACAUCCUGGGGCUGGAGAAGGUCCCAAGGGUUCGGCUGUUCGCCGAUUAAAGUGGCACGUGAACUGGGUUCAGAACGUCGCAAGACAGUUCGGUCUCUAUCUGCGGUGGGCGUUAGUAAAUUGAGAAGACAUGACCUUAGUAGGAGAGGACCGGGUCGUACACACCGCUGGUGUAUCUGUUGUGCCGCCAGGUGCAAUGCAGAGUAGCUACGUGUGGCAAGGAUAAGCGCUGAAAGCAUCUAAGCGCGAAACCUUCUUCAAGAUGAGUUUACUUUUAAGGGUCGUAGAAGACGACUACGUUGAUAGGCUAUAGGUUUAAAAUUGGUAACAAUAAAGCCGA